rnacentral:rRNA from 1 species
CCCUUAGAUGUUCUGGGCCGCACACGCGCUACACUGAAGGAGGCAGCGUGUACUCCUGGAUCGAAAGAUGUGGGUAACCCGCGAAUCUCCUUCGUGCUAGGGAUUGAGGUUUGCAAUUAUCCUUCAUGAACGAGGAAUUCCCAGUAAGUGCAAGUCAUAAGCUUGCGCUGACUACGUCCCUGCCCUUUGUACACACCGCCCGUCGCUACUACCGAUUGAAUGAUUUAGUGAGGACUUCGGACUGGGACCGAUGCGGCUUUCGGGCUGCGUCGGUAUUCUGGAAAGAUGUCCAAACUGUAUCAUUUAGAGGAAGUAAAAGUCGUAACA